CUUUUUACAAUAGUUUUACAAGAUUUACAAUCGUUUUUUAAGCAUAAGUAAGUGGCAUUGAAUGAUUUAUAAGGGAUUUUAAAAGCUUAUAAAAGGGUAAAACAUGAUUUACAAUCAUUUUAAAGCAUAAGUAAGUGACAUAAAAUGAUUUACAAUGGAUUUAAAAAGGGUUAGCAUGGUUUACAAUCGUUUUUAGCAUAAGUAAGUGGCAUUGAAUGAUUUACAAGGGAUUUUAAAAGCUUAUAAAAUGGUAAAAUAUGAUUUACAAUCGUUUUUAAAGCAUAAGUAAGUGGCAUAUAGGGGUGUCAAACGGACUGGCCCGCGACCAAACGGGCUGUCCGCGAUGGGCCAUUCUUCUUUCCAGUCCAUAACGGGCCGGCCCGCUAACGACCGCGGGCGACAAAACGAAGCCCAUACCCGCCCCGCAUUGCCCAUUGGUCUAACGGGCCGGCCCGCGGGCUAUGACAUAUGCAGAGCUAAUCAUUCUUCUAGUUUCUCCUUUCCCUACAAAACCUGUGCAGCCACAUAUCU
rnacentral:sRNA from 1 species